GAGGUUCAGUAGCUAAACACAGAGGAAAAGAAAAAGGAAAGACAGAAAGCACCUCCUCCCUAUUUAUUUCUUAGUACCUGUCUUGUUCUUUACUUCUUCUCCUUCUUCUUCUUCAUCUAUUCUUUCCUUCCUCUUCUUCUGUGCUUUUACAGACUCAGGUGAGAGAUGGGAUGUGGAAAUUCCUCACAAGCCACCACCAACAGCAGCAGCACUGGAGGUCGUGUUGAGUCUUCAUCAAAGGUAUCAGAAGAGUCUGUGCCAGGAGAUGACAAAUGGCAGAACUAUGGAGGUGUGUAUGUGGGUU